AGAAGUUAGAGGUUGAGGAGGUGGCAAACUCAAGGACUAAAGGAGACUUUUGUCUCAUUUAUCUAAGCCACUUGCAUAUGAGUUUAAACUCAGCAAGCUUAUCAUUUUCAGCUCCCAAAUUUCGUACUCCAUCCUUUCUCCAUGGAAGAUCAUCAACCAAAUUUCAAAGGAGCAUAACUUCUUCGUUUCUCAACGAAAUUGGACGAUUCUUGUGGCCACGGAACGAGAAGAAGGAGAGCUACUGAUCUAGCCCUAUUGUUCAAGGUGUUCUUGAGUUGAAUUGAAGCAAAGUUGAUGGUGAAUUUGAGCUUGAAGUGUUUGGCCAUGAUCAACAAUCCAAGACUCGACGAAGCGACUAUCGACAAGGCUUGAGGGGAACGGAUCGAGAUGUCUUCGUGUUUAUUUAAAGAUUAUGGAUAGCAAGUGGUGAGUACACUUUAAAUUACUC